rnacentral:rRNA from 1 species
AAAACAACUACGGAGGGUGCAAGCGUUGUUCGGAAUUACUGGGCGUAAAGCGCGCGUAGGCGGUUUGUUAAGUCAGAUGUGAAAGCCCAUGGCUCAACCAUGGACGUGCAUUUGAAACUGGCAGACUUGAGUAUUGGAGGGGGUGGUGGAAUUCCCGGUGUAGAGGUGAAAUUCGUAGAUAUCGGGAGGAAUACCAGUGGCGAAGGCGGCUAACUGGACUGGUACUGACGCUGAGGUGCGAAAGUGUGGGGAGCAAACAGG